rnacentral:rRNA from 1 species
CCUACGGGGGGCAGCAGUGAGGAAUCUUGGUCAAUGGCCGCAGGGCUGAACCAGCCAAGUUGCGUGAGGGAUGACGGUCCUAUGGAUUGUAAACCUCUUUUGUCAGGGAGCAAAGGGCGCCACGUGUGGCGCUUUGCGAGUACCUGAAGAAAAAGCAUCGGCUAACUCCGUGCCAGCAGCCGAUGUAAUACGGAGGAUGCGAGCGUUAUCCGGAUUUAUUGGGUUCAAAGGGUGCGCAGGCGGAAUGUCAAGUCAGCGGUAAAAUUUCGGGGCUCAACCCCGUCGUGCCGUUGAAACUGGCGUUCUUGAGUGAGCGAGAAGUAUGCGGAAUGCGUGGUGUAGCGGUGAAAUGCAUAGAUAUCACGCAGAACUCCGAUUGCGAAGGCAGCAUACCGGCGCUCAACUGACGCUCAUGCACGAAAGCGUGGGUAUCGAACAGGAUUAGAUACCCCGGUAGUC